AAUUAAUGCUAGUCUCAAUAAGUUAGGUACUUGAUAAAGCUCAUCUUGGUGAUCAUUUCUUCCACUCCCCAGUAGGCCCAUUUGUUCUAUCAAUCUGAUUUCCUAGCUUGUCAAACAAUGGCAAUAUCACUGGGGACGAAUCUGGAAUUAAAACUUUGAAGGGCCAAAGAAUGAUAAAAAAGAUGGCCUAGUGCAUGCUUAUGGGCUCUAGAUAUGGUUGAUGUACGCAGGCUUAUCCCUGCUUCAUAUAGAGGCUUUUAUCAUGGCCCGAACCCAUAACCUCUAGGUCACAAAUAGAGUAA
rnacentral:misc_RNA from 1 species